GAAUCAUUCUCAUUUCAAAUCGAUUCACACACAUAGCAGACGCUAACACAUCAAGCGUCAUCAAUAGCGUGGUCUAUGGUGCAAUGCUAUCACUGGAGUAAGGCGUUUAUCUUCUAUUCGGGUAGCGUCAUGAUUGGCCUACCCUGAUGGCGUCAUGAUCGCUGCUGAUUGCCUUUCAAAUAGGUUUUCAGCAUUCUGCUUACACCUUUGGCAUAGAGUCACAUAUUUCACAAUCCAACAUCAAUUGGUACCAACAGCAGCCCUUCUCUCCAUCAUCCAGAAGGGUCUGAGAUCAGUGUUGGAGAUGAUGGUUCGGAACAACCCAUGGAAAGCUUAUCACUCAUUGAUGCUGUGAUGCCUGAUGUUGUUGCAAGUCGUCAACAGCAAACCCAGAACAAACAGAAACCACAAGUGGUAAAGACAGAACCACCAAAUUCCAAUGGAGAUGAACCCAUGCAUUCCAAUCGCUGGGAAGAGGAAACAGGAGUAGAGAUGCCUGCCAGCAAAUCUACUGUACUUCGUGGCCAUGAAUCUGAAGUUUUCAUCUGUCUGCGCCUGAACCCAACAACAUUCAGAAGGGUGGAACUGAAGUUCCGAGCAACAAAGAUGUCACCUCACUUGACUGGUAUUUGCUGGGAUAACUGAACAGAAGUUUUAAAGAAAGACUGAAACAAUUGACAAGGCAAAAGAUUGGGAACCUGAAUGCUAUUCAGAGUGCAGGCGAGAAGCUUAAAGCUGCACUUGAACGUACAGUGACGUCCUUAAGAUUGUUAAGAAGCAUUGUAGAAGAAAUUCGUACUAAAGAAGAUACUAUACAAAAACUUCAAACGCAUAUCGAAUCUAUGCCACUUUCAGUACUAACAAGAACAUUUUAUACUCAAAGAAUACUGAGUAUCGUAGCCAACGCCAAAAAACAAAAUGAAGAAAUGCAUCGGGUGCUUGAAGAUGUAAAAAGUGUGCAGCGUGAAAUCAAUUCAAUACAGGGAAAAGUUGAGCGUACGUUUACCGUUACGGAUGUAAUUAUUUUUCGGAUGGCCAAAUCGGAUGAGACUGCCCGGCGUAUUUACAAGUAUUUGAUUUCAUUGCAAACUGAUUGCUCUGACAUCCAAAAAUUAGUGAAAGAAUCUGGCAACUUGUCACGAGAGAUAAAGGAUUUAGAAGAUCAAGCGGAGACCGAAUUACGUAAGAAUAUUGCUACAAAAAUUAGGCGACUGCAAAGUGACCUCGAACAGAUACGGACGGAAAAUCAGAUUUUAGAAGAACGAGAGGGUACUAAAAUUUAAUUAUUCAUCUUAGUUUAUUUCCAGUCAGCCUCACUUUGUUCAAAUUAAAUUUUUCUCACUUCAAUAAAGUUCAACAUUCCAAUA
rnacentral:lncRNA from 1 species